rnacentral:rRNA from 1 species
GAUGAACGCUGGCGGCGUGCCUAAUACAUGCAAGUCGAACGCUGAAGGAGGAGCUUGCUCUUCUGGAUGAGUUGCGCACGGGUGUGUAACGCGUAGGUAACCUGCCUCGUAGAGGGGGAUAACUAUUGGAAACGCUAGCUAAUACCGCAUGACAUCAGUUAUUGCAUGAUAACUGUUACAAAGGGGCAACUGCUCCACUACCAGAUGGACCUGCGUUGUCUUAGUUACUUGGUGAGGUAACGGCUCACAACGGCAACGAUCCUUCUCGGACCUGGUAGGGGGAUGGCCAAGAGUGGACGGGGGAACGGGCCAAGCUUCUACGGGAAGCAGCAGGAAGGAAUCCUUGGCAAUGGACGGAAGUCUGACCGAAGAACGCCGGGGGAAGUAAGGAGGUUUUCGGAUCGGAAAGAUCUGUUGUAAGGGAAGAACGAAUGUGGGAGUUGAAAGUGCACGCUGUGACGGUAUCUAACCAGAAAGGGACGGCUAACUACGUG